CGGCGGACGGGUGAGUAACACGUGGGCAACCUGCCUGUAAGACUGGGAUAACUUCGGGAAACCGGAGCUAAUACCGGAUAAAAACUUUCUUCACAUGAAGGAAGGAUAAAAGACGGUUUUGCUGUCGCUUACAGAUGGGCCCGCGGCGCAUUAGCUAGUUGGUGGGGUAAUGGCUCACCAAGGCAACGAUGCGUAGCCGACCUGAGAGGGUGAUCGGCCACACUGGGACUGAGACACGGCCCAGACUCCUACGGGAGGCAGCAGUAGGGAAUCUUCCGCAAUGGACGAAAGUCUGACGGAGCAACGCCGCGUGAACGAUGAAGGUCUUCGGAUCGUAAAGUUCUGUUAUCAGGGAAGAACAAGUAUCGGAGUAACUGCCGGUACCUUGACGGUACCUGACCAGAAAGCCACGGCUAACUACGUGCCAGCAGCCGCGGUAAUACGUAGGUGGCAAGCGUUGUUCGGAAUUAUUGGGCGUA
rnacentral:rRNA from 1 species